AGCGGCCGAUUUCUGAUUAGCUAGUUGGUGAGGUAAAGGCUCACCAAGGCGACGAUCAGUAGCUGGUCUGAGAGGACGACCAGCCACACUGGAACUGAGACACGGUCCAGACUCCUACGGGAGGCAGCAGUGGGGAAUUUUGGACAAUGGGCGCAAGCCUGAUCCAGCAAUGCCGCGUGAGUGAAGAAGGCCUUCGGGUUGUAAAGCUCUUUUGUCAGGGAAGAAACGGUAGGGGCUAAUAUCCUUUGCUAAUGACGGUACCUGAAGAAUAAGCACCGGCUAACUACGUGCCAGCAGCCGCGGUAAUACGUAGGGUGCAAGCGUUAAUCGGAAUUACUGGGCGUAAAGCGUGCGCAGGCGGUUUUGUAAGUCUGUCGUGAAAGCCCCGGGCUCAACCUGGGAAUUGCGAUGGAGACUGCAAGGCUUGAAUCUGGCAGAGGGGGGUAGAAUUCCACGUGUAGCAGUGAAAUGCGUAGAGAUGUGGAGGAACACCGAUGGCGAAGGCAGCCCCCUGGGUCAAGAUUGACGCUCAUGCACGAAAGCGUGGGGAGCAAACAGGAUUAGAUACCCUGGUAGUCCACGCCCUAAACGAUGUCUACUAGUUGUCGGGUUUUAAUUAACUUGGUAACGCAGCUAACGCGUGAAGUAGACCGCCUGGGAGUACGGUCGCAAGAU
rnacentral:rRNA from 1 species